ACGAACGCUGGCGGCGUGCUUAACACAUGCAAGUCGAACGGAAAGGCUCCAGCUUGCUGGAGUACUCGAGUGGCGAACGGGUGAGUAACACGUGGGUAAUCUGCCCUGCACUCUGGGAUAAGCCUGGGAAACUGGGUCUAAUACUGGAUAUGACCUUUCUCCUUAUGGGGUUUGGUGGAAAGUUUUUCGGUGUAGGAUGAGCCCGCGGCCUAUCCGCUUGUUGGUGGGGUGAUGGCCUACCAAGGCGACGACGGGUAGCCGGCCUGAGAGGGUGAUCGGCCACAUUGGGACUGAGAUACGGCCCAGACGCCUACGGGAGGCAGCAGUGGGGAAUAUUGCACAAUGGGCGGAAGCCUGAUGCAGCGACGCCGCGUGAGGGAUGACGGCCUUCGGGUUGUAAACCUCUUUCAGCAGGGACGAAGCGUAAGUGACGGUACCUGCAGAAGAAGCACCGGCUAACUAUGUG
rnacentral:rRNA from 1 species